rnacentral:rRNA from 1 species
UACGAAGGGGGCUAGCGUUGCUCGGAAUCACUGGGCGUAAAGCGCACGUAGGCGGACUCUUACGUCGGUGGUGAAAUCCUGGAGCUCAACUCCAGAACUGCCUUCGAUACUGAGAGUCUCGAGUCCGGGAGAGGUGAGUGGAACCGCGAGUGUAGAGGUGAAAUUCGUAGAUAUUCGCAAGAACACCAGUGGCGAAGGCGGCUCACUGGCCCGGUACUGACGCUGAGGUGCGAAAGCGUGGGGAGCAAACAGG